GCAAGUCGAACGGUAACAUGGGAGCUUGCUCCUGAUGACGAGUGGCGGACGGGUGCGUAACGCGUGGGAAUCUACCUUGUAGUGGGGGAUAGCCCGGAGAAAUCCGGAUUAAUACCGCAUAAUCUCUACGGAGGAAAAGGGGCCUCUCCCUGGAAGCUCUUGCUAUUAGAUGAGCCCGCGUUAGAUUAGCUAGUUGGUGAGGUAAUGGCUCACCAAGGCGACGAUCUAUAGCUGGUUUGAGAGGAUGAUC
rnacentral:rRNA from 1 species